CGGCCUCGUAGGCUCAGAAGCAGAGCGUGGGCACCUCCACCAUGGCCUGGACCCCUCUCCUCCUCGCCCUCCUGGCUCACUGCUCAGGGUCCUGGGCGCAGUCUGGGCUGACACAGGAAGCCUCGGUGUCAGGGUCUGUGGGACAGAAGGUCACCCUCACCUGCACUGGAAGCAGCAACAAUGUUGGAUUCUAUGGUGCAGGCUGGUACCAACAGGUUCCUGGGGCUACCCCCAAAACUGUGAUGCUUGGAACUACUCGCCCCUCAGGGAUCCCAGAUCGGUUCUCCGGCUCCAAGUCCGGCAACACGGCCUCUCUGACCAUCACAGGCCUCCAGCCUAAGGAUGAGGGGGAUUAUUACUGUUCUUCGUGGGACUAUGGCAGCAGCAAUACCACAGUGCUCCAGACCCAUGGGGAACUGCGACAAAACCCUGCCCUGUUCCCAGUGAUCAACCCCAUGAAGGCCUGGGACAGAUAA